rnacentral:antisense_RNA from 19 species
CUCUGCGGUGGAACGGGAGGGGGACACCUUCGGGUGUGCUGAUCUUUUGGCUAUCAGUCUGUCAACCUUCUCUCGUUUCACCACC